rnacentral:rRNA from 1 species
AGCUACUACGGUAGUGAAGUCAUUGAUGCCAUGCUUCCAGGAAAAGCCUCUAAGCUUCAGAUUGUAAGGAAUCGUACCCCAAACCGACACAGGUGGUCGGGUAGAGAAUACCAAGGCGCUUGAGAGAACUCGGGUGAAGGAACUAGGCAAAAUGGUACCGUAACUUCGGGAGAAGGUACGCUCUCGACGGUGAAGUCCCUCGCGGAUGGAGCUAUUGAGAGUCGCAGAUACCAGGUGGCUGCAACUGUUUAUUAAAAACACAGCACUGUGCAAAAUCGCAAGAUGACGUAUACGGUGUGACGCCUGCCCGGUGCCGGAAGGUUAAUUGAUGGGGUUAGACUUCGGUCGAAGCUCUUGAUCGAAGCCCCGGUAAACGGCGGCCGUAACUAUAACGGUCCUAAGGUAGCGAAAUUCCUUGUCGGGUAAGUUCCGACCUGCACGAAUGGCGUAAUGAUGGCCACGCUGUCUCCACCCGAGACUCAGUGAAAUUGAAAUCGCUGUGAAGAUGCAGUGUACCCGCGGCUAGACGGAAAGACCCCGUGAACCUUUACUACAGCUUGGCACUGAACAUUGACCCUACAUGUGUAGGAUAGGUGGGAGGCUUUGAAGCGCAGUCGCUAGAUUGCGUGGAGCCGUCCUUGAAAUACCACCCUUGUAGUGUUGAUGUUCUAACGUCGACCCCUUAUCGGGGUUGCGGACAGUGCCUGGUGGGUAGUUUGACUGGGGCGGUCUCCUCCCAAAGCGUAACGGAGGAGCACGAAGGUGGGCUAAUCACGGUUGGACAUCGUGAGGUUAGUGCAAUGGCAUAAGCCCGCUUGACUGCGAGAAUGACAAUUCGAGCAGGUGCGAAAGCAGGUCAUAGUGAUCCGGUGGUUCUGAAUGGAAGGGCCAUCGCUCAACGGAUAAAAGGUACUCCGGGGAUAACAGGCUGAUACCGCCCAAGAGUUCAUAUCGACGGCGGUGUUUGGCACCUCGAUGUCGGCUCAUCACAUCCUGGGGCUGAAGUCGGUCCCAAGGGUAUGGCUGUUCGCCAUUUAAAGUGGUACGCGAGCUGGGUUUAGAACGUCGUGAGACAGUUCGGUCCCUAUCUGCCGUGGGCGUUGGAGAAUUGAAAGGGGCUGCUCCUAGUACGAGAGGACCGGAGUGGACGAACCUCUGGUGUUCGGGUUGUGUCGCCAGACGCAUUGCCCGGUAGCUAAGUUCGGGAUCGAUAACCGCUGAAAGCAUCUAAGCGGGAAGCGAGCCUUGAGAUGAGUUCUCCCUGAUACUUUAAGUAUCCUAAAGGGUUGUCGUAGACUACGACGUUGAUAGGCAGGGUGUGUAAGCGUUGUGAGGCGUUGAGCUAACCUGUACUAAUUGCCCGUGAGGCUUAACCAU